AUUAAAAAAAGAAUAGAAUUAAGUCGACUAACUCUUUUCCACAUCUUGAGGUGUCUCCGUUGCGGUGACAGAUGAGAUGAUCAGAAGGAGACCAAAAAGAAGACCGAGGAAUAGAUAAACUUUAGUCUUCAUUUUUGUUCUUCGUAACUAGCUGGCUAGUCCUUAAUUAAACUGUAAAAUAGAAAACUUUAAAGAAAGACCGAUGUUGGGAAAGUAUGGGAAUGCAAGCCUUUCUUUAUUUUGCAUCUAUUUAUAGAGUAGUAGGAGUAGUGCUAUAUUAGAUAUGACUGGCGCAAGGAUA
rnacentral:lncRNA from 1 species